CACCGACAGCUCUAGUGGUAGCAGUUUUUAUUGGGCCUAAAGCGUCCGUAGCCGGUUUAAUAAGUCUCUGGUGAAAUCCUGUAGCUUAACUGUGGGAAUUGCUGGAGAUACUAUUAGACUUGAGACCGGGAGAGGUUAGAGGUACUCCCAGGGUAGAGGUGAAAUUCUGUAAUCCUGGGAGGACCGCCUGUUGCGAAGGCGUCUAACUGGAACGGUUCUGACGGUGAGGGACGAAAGUUAGGGGCGCGAACCGGAUUAGAUACCCGGGUAGUCCUAACUGUAAACGAUGCGGACUUGGUGUUGGGGUGGCUUUGAGCUGUUCCAGUGCCGAAGGGAAGCUGUUAAGUCCGCCGCCUGGGAAGUACGGUCGCAAGACUGAAACUUAA
rnacentral:rRNA from 1 species